GACGAACGCUGACGGCGUGCUUAACACAUGCAAGUCGAAGGGAGUGGCGAACGGGUGAGUAACACGUGAGUAACCUGGCCUUUUCUUUGGGAUAAGCCUGGGAAAAUGGGUCUAAUACUGGAUGGAUUGGGAUGGGCUCGCGGCUUAUCAGAUUGUUUGUGGGGUGAUGGGGUACCAAGGCUUUGACGGGUAGCCGGCCUGCGCGGGUGGGCGGGCACGCUGGGACUGGGAUACGGCCCAGACUCCUACGAGAGGCAGCAGUGGGGGAUAUUGCACAAUGGGCGAAAGCCUGAUGCAGCGACGCCGCGUGGGGGUUGAAGGCUUUCGGGUUGUAAACCUCUUUCGCUAUCGAACGGGUAUGUGGAGAAGAAGCGCCGGCUAACUACGUGCCAGCAGCCGCGGUAAUAC
rnacentral:rRNA from 1 species